UUGUUCCACUGAUUAGUCAUU
ensembl:piRNA 21ur-3947 ncRNA